rnacentral:rRNA from 1 species
GUGAACGCUGGCGGUAGGCCUAACCCAUGCAAGUCGAACGGCAGCACAGUAAGAGCUUGCCCUUACGGGUGGCGAGUGGCGGACGGGUGAGGAAUACAUCGGAAUCUACUUUUUCGUGGGGGAUAACGUAGGGAAACUUACGCUAAUACCGCAUACGACCUACGGGUGAAAGCAGGGGAUCUUCGGACCUUGCGCGAUUGAAUGAGCCGAUGUCGGAUUAGCUAGUUGGCGGGGUAAAGGCCCACCUGGGCGACGAUCCGUAGCUGGUCUGAGAGGAUGAUCAGCCACACUGGAACUGAGACACGGUCCAGACUCCUACGGGAGGCAGCAGUGGGGAAUAUUGGACAAAGGGCGCAAGCCUGAUCCAGCCAUACCGCGUGGGUGAAGAAGGCCUUCGGGUUGUAAAGCCCUUUUGUUGGGAAAGAAAAGCAGCAGGUUAAUACCCCGCUGUUCUGACGGUACCCAAAGAAUAAGCACCGGCUAACUUCGUG